UAAAUGCCAGCUGCGUUCGCAGCCUCAUUUGCAUGAGCUUCUGCGCUUCUUCAAAAAGUCUGCAGCACUCCUUUUGCGCAAACACCACUCGCACUACGAGUCAGAAUGUGGUCUUCCGCACUUGCGCUUGUCCUUUGGGCUCUGCUGAUUCCUGGAUCUUCUGCCCAGAAUUUUCUGAGGCAGACGGACAGACUCAUGUCUGUCUCUCUCGGAGGAAGCGUGACCAUCAGGGCCACAGGGAGUCAAAACAUUGGUAGCGAUCUCAGUUGGUACCAAGUGAAACCUGGACAGGCUCCCAAACUGCUCAUCUACUCCGCAAAAUCAAAAUUCUCAGACGCGCCAUCUAGAUUCAGCGGCACUCGAUCCGGCUCUGACUACACUCUGACCAUCAGAGAUGUCCAGAGAGAUGACCUGGCCGAAUACUACUGUUUCGCCUACUACAGCGGUGACAGGUCGACACGGUGACUCAGAGACGUACAAAAACCUCCUUGGACUUUUGAGAGAAGUGAAAGUGGUCUGUAGAAGGUGGCAAGUGAAAAGCAGAAGACAGAAGAUUGCUCAACAUAACUGGUCAGAAUUCAAGUUUGAUUCAAGACUAUUUAUGUCUAUUGAACUAUUUAUUACAAUAUAACAUAUAAAAAAAUGUCCUCAUAAAAAUACACAUCACCACAAAUUUUCUACUGCUUUUUAGCUGUCACAACAGUAACAUUGCGCUCGAGGGGGAUUACAUACAGGUUAUUGGAUUGGUGGCGAGUGACGUUGUUGGACAUCGUUAAGAGAGACAAGUUCAGGACGGUGGUGGCACCGUGACUGUCAGUAUCAUUUGACAUAAUUCUGCAGCAUUCCCCAAGUUUUUAUUCAGCUUCUUCGCCUUCACAGGCAAUUUCUACAGAAAUUGCAAAUUCUAGCUGUUUUUAAUAUACCGUUUUUUUCCAUGUACAAUGCGCAAAAUUUAACAAAUUUAUUGUCCUAAAAUCUGGGGUACGCAUUAUACAUGGGUACAUAAAAAAAAAAAAAAAAAUCUUUUUUUUUUAUUAUUAUUUUUUUUAAAUCCGGAUAUCAUACGGAGGCCGCCAUUACAUUACUUUCUCGCAUGCGCAGUGAUACUGACCGGCAGAAUAACAUCCGGUUGUUCCCAAAGAUGAUCUUUUUUCUGAAAUAAUUUUACGUUCACGGACUUAAGUAGGAGUCAAAAUUUGGGUGCGUAUUAUACAUGGGUACAGGAUUUUUUCCAGCAUCAACAUGCCACUUUUAGGGUGCGUAUUAUACAUGGGGGCGCAUUAUACAUGGAAAAAAACGGUAGUUCAUGUAGCAUAAAUAUUUACUAUUGUAUAUUAUUCAGAAACGUGUUUUUUUUCUUGGAUUUACAUUCUUGGCGUCAGGUUUCACACAUCGGCGCUUGCCACCAACAUUUUCGAACAACAACGAACAUUUUCGAUGACCCAAAUUAAACAUCUAAAAAUGGUUCAGCACCAUAAUCUUACAACAUCAUUUAGAAAACCAACCAAUUACUGUAACUUGAAUUGAAAUAAAAUAAUACCCGAGAAGAAGAACAGAAGGAUGAAAGCGCCACAUCUGGUUCUGGAACCAUGGCAACUCACAGAGCUGAACUCACUGUUUGUGCAUAUUGUGAAUUUUGUCGGGAUUCCUAAAAGGUUGUAAACAGUUUCUUACGAUAAGAAAAUAUGUUGACGCCUAUUAAAAUGCAAAAGUCUUGUGAACGUC